GACGAACGCUGGCGGCGUGCCUAAUACAUGCAAGUAGAACGCUGAAGGAGGAGCUUGCUCUUCUGGAUGAGUUGCGAACGGGUGAGUAACGCAUAGGUAACCUGCCUGGUAGCGGGGGAUAACUAUUGGAAACGAUAGCUAAUACCGCAUAAGAGUAGAUGUUGCAUGACAUUUGCUUAAAAGGUGCAAUUGCAUCACUACCAGAUGGACCUGCGUUGUAUUAGCUAGUUGGUGGGGUAACGGCUCACCAAGGCGACGAUACAUAGCCGACCUGAGAGGGUGAUCGGCCACACUGGGACUGAGACACGGCCCAGACUCCUACGGGAGGCAGCAGUAGGGAAUCUUCGGCAAUGGACGGAAGUCUGACCGAGCAACGCCGCGUGAGUGAAGAAGGUUUUCGGAUCGUAAAGCUCUGUUGUAAGAGAAGAACGAGUGCGAGAGUGGAAAGUUCACACUGUGACGGUAUCUUACCAGAAAGGGACGGCUAACUACGUG
rnacentral:rRNA from 1 species